rnacentral:lncRNA from 1 species
AUUUCCCACUGGUGCCAGGGGGCUGUUUGACUGAGGAAGGCGUUGCUCUGGUCCUGGGCACUGGCAGUCACCUGGCAGAGCCAUGCGGGUAACAGGGGUUUGCAGGGGCCGGCCGGGAAAUGCUCAGCAAAUGAGUGAAGCAGAUUGACACGAGAAAUGGAUGCAGCACAGCCAGCAUUUUGCCCUGAAAACCACCCAGCAGAGACGGGGGCACCUGGCAUGGGUUGCACUGCCUGUCCUGCCCACAUCCAUCACUCCCUGGGCUCAGCUGCAGGCCGUGAGCCACAAACACAGGAGCACUCCUGCAGCCAGAGCUGGCACAGCUUCAGGGAAGGGGACAAGGACAUGGCAGGGAUGCUGGACUGGAGGAGUUCAGUAGGAACAUGGUCAGUGGGCUGGCCAGCACCAGGCGUUUCUGGUUUGAGGAGCAAUUUUGUGCAUUGCUGCUGGCUUUCUUGGGGGCAGAAGGAGAAAUCAUCAUCAUCUGUCAAAAGUUACCACCUGAAGCCCCUUAGAGCUUGGUUGAGCCCAGGGUCAUCCACUGCUGCACUGAAUUCAUGUCAGAAAAAGCUCUGAAGAACAAGGGGAAGCGAAAAGGUAGUUGUGGGCUCGUGUUAGCGAUCCCAAUGAUCCCUGAGGUCUGCUUGAAAUAGAACCCCGUCUGUGCCAGGCUAUUUGGGCCGUGUUGAUCUUCAUGGGAUUUUUCUAGCCUCAGGAAGAACUUGUGACUUCUGAAGGGCAUGAGCAGCCCCCUGCAGGGAAAGGUGUUCUGCCUGCUUGUGCUGCAGGGAGCAGCUGAGCUGUAUUUCAGGCUAUUGCUCUCUGAUCCAGAGGUGGCUGCACUGCACAACAGCAGGUGAAACCACAGCGUGGAGAACAGUGAGGUCAAACUGAAGCCUACGUCGAGGCACUUCUUGCCACGAGACAAAUGGUAUUCCUCACACAACAUGGACAAAAUCUCUUCCAAGGCUUGUGAAGGCUGCCAGCCUUGCACACCUGGAUGAAAGGCAUUAGGAAAACCUCGCUGAUUUUUCAGAUGCGCUGCCUUUUCUGGGACUCGCUCUCAUGCUGAAGGCACUCUGAGACUCUCUUCCAGUGGUGUGCAUUUAAUUGGCUUCACAGGCAGACACCUCAUGCGAUGCAGUCUGUCUUGCUGGCGGCCGGUGACAUAUUUUGCCAUUGUUCUUUUUAAUUUGGCAGAUCAGUGUCUGCAUGCGGUGCCCAGCAUGGCCAAAGCCAAGGCACUGAGACACCUUGGUCUCUGGAAGAGAAACUUCCUCCAGGAGCAGGGGCAGCACUUGCAGCCUUGUGCUAAUUACAAAACGACUUCUCUGUGUGUGUGCAGAAAUGGAAAAAUAUGCCUAGAAAGGUAACAGGGAUUAACAACAUUGACUACAAGAAGAUGAUGCAUUGGAUGAGCCCAAAGUCAACGUGAUUACACUCUGCACUGCACCAGCAACUACAUCCGUAGGAUGAGGCCCAGCUCUCACUGGAUUCAUCCCUGCACCUUGGUGGCCCUCUCCCCCUUAUGGGGGCAAACUGUGGCCCAAAAUUACCUUCCAAUGUUAGGCAGCAGCUGGCCUGGAGGAAGGUACAGCUCCUCGGCAGGCCUCCUGUCCUAGGAACCAGUUGCUUCUAGCCUAGAGAUUAUUGGGCCCCGGGUUUUGACCUGAUUCCCCUUUUCUUUUUUAUUUUACUUUUUUUUAAUUUCAUCUGACUGCCGGUUACAAAGGUGAAAAACCCAUCUGCUGACAUUACUACAGAAAGAUUCAGAGAUUCUUCUUGGUUUCCAGGGAAUACUGAAAUCCUCAGUGCAGGGUAUAGUCAGCUGGUGAGAGAGGGAGAGGGAGAGCUACUCAGCUGCCCUGUGGGAUCUGCAGUCUUCAGCUAAUAACCAAAGUAGGAUAUAACAAUGGAAUUAAUUUUAAAUUGCCUAAACAAUCAAAGGGCCAUUACUUCUUUUAAUUACAAGAAAGCUGGAGGAAUUAAAUAUGAUUUAAUUUCAAUAAAAUUUCAAGCUACCCAACUAUGAUUUUUAUU